UACGUAGGUGGCAAGCGUUGUCCGGAUUUAUUGGGUUUAAAGGGUGCGUAGGCGGUCUGAUAAGUCAGUUGUGAAAUACGGCAGCUUAACUGUCGAGGUGCAAUUGAUACUGUUGGACUAGAGUACUGAUGAGGUAAGCGGAAUGGACGGUGUAGCGGUGAAAUGCUUAGAUAUCGUCCAGAACACCGAUAGCGAAGGCAGCUUACUACAGGGAUAUUGACACUGAGGCACGAAAGCGUGGGGAUCAAACAGG
rnacentral:rRNA from 1 species